AGGGGCAUAGCCAAGCGGUAAGGCAGCGGACUUUGAUUCCGUGAUUUCGGAAGUUCAAAUCUUUCUGCCCCUGCCA
rnacentral:tRNA from 1 species